CGUCAAUAUAGUGAAUGACUGACUGAUUUCCCUGCAAAGUACACCAUGUACAACGACUGUUACUUACUUUGAAAACAAAGCCUGAAAAAUACCUACCAAUUAGAAACUGGGUGCUGUGGAGGCGUUUUUUUGUGCAGGUCUAAUGACAUACUACGGAAGCAACAGGACCUAACCAGAGUGGGAAAUGUAGCUGUUCAGAAAACCUGCAUCUUUGUAAGUGAAGGCAGAGACAAAAAAUGCUGCACAAUUUGUUUGCUAAUUUGCAUAGCGGAUCUGGAUUUUAUCCUAACAACGACCCCAAAAUCAGCAAUAAGCUG